UGUACACGUGCGUUAUGUCAAAAAGAGUGACAGUAGCUCCCAAAUCAACACCUUAACCUUUGAGUGCUUUUAUCUCCUUUAUAUUAGCUCCAAAUCAUAUAAGAUUUGCAACAAAACCAUAGACAAAAACAUAAACUUGCUGACCUUAGCCUUCAAAGCUCGAAUGCCCUCGAAACACUAACCCUAAUCCCUAAUAUGGCCUCAGGCAGCCUCCUCAAAGCCCAUUGGUCAUGAUUUUUGACCAAUAGGAAUGGAGAUUUUCAUCAUUCAUCUCCAUUCAUCUAUAUUAGUGUCCUAAUUACUCCCUUUGCUACCAAAAUACUUCUUCAAUGCUUUUUCUUAUAAGAUUUAUAUAAUUUAUAUUCUAAACACCAAAUAAAAGAACCAAAAUAAGUUUCUAAAGGUCACCAAUGUCUAAUAACGAUGACUCUAAAUAUUUAGAAGUUACUAUCAACCAAAACCAAUCUUAAAAGCCACUAUCAAAAAGAAAUUAAAGUUAUAUAAAUUCUAUAGUAAUCUUUUUAAUCAGCCUCUUUUCAAGGCAAUAAUCAAAUUAUAUUCUACAACCAACUAAAAUCUACUAACAUGGCUCUCACCAUGUUACUUAAAUAAAUUAUAUAUUAAGUACACAAUUACAUUAUUUUCAUAUAGUAGCCGAACCACAAUACAAAAAUGUCGUUUAUACUCCUUCUUCACCUUGACAUCAACAUCAUCACUAGGAGGCUCUUCACUUUCAUCAACAAUGUCCCAAAGGUCCAAUGAAGCCA
rnacentral:lncRNA from 1 species